rnacentral:lncRNA from 1 species
AGGGUUAAGAAUAGGAAUUUUUGGUAUUAAGGAUUUUAAUUUUGGAAGAAGAAAGAGGGCUAGGAUUGAAAAGAGUAGAAAGAAGGGUCACUGAGAAUUUUGGAGAAAAGAUAAGAUUCAAGCUUGGUUCGGGGUUUUAAAGGCCUCUUACAAAAUUUUCAUCUUUUGUUUUUUGAAAUUUUAAAGGAAGUUAGAUUAUGUUGUUAACUUUUCAAAAAGCCUUAGCAUGCAAGAAGAAGAGUUGUGACAAGAGAGAUCCAAGAAAAUUUAUGAGAAGGAGUUUGCUCGAGUUUUUGAGUUGUGAGAUUCAAGACUAAUUACGGAUUUCUAUGCUAUUUCUUGUAUUUUCUUUUUUUUUAUUCUAAAAUUUUGUAUAAAGCUAGAUUUUGUUAUUAGCUUUCCAAUAAGAUAUUUUACAUAAGAAAUAGAGCUAUGAAGAAGGAUAUCCAAA